GACGAACGCUGGCGGCGUGCUUAACACAUGCAAGUCGAACGGAAAGGCCCUGCUUUUGUGGGUUGCUCGAGUGGCGAACGGGUGAGUAACACGUGAGUAACCUGCCCUUGACUUUGGGAUAACUUCAGGAAACUGGGGCUAAUACCGGAUAGGAGCUCCUGCUGCAUGGUUGGGGUUGGAAAGUUUCGGCGGUUGGGGAUGGACUCGCGGCUUAUCAGCUUGUUGGUGGGGUAGUGGCUUACCAAGGCUUUGACGGGUAGCCGGCCUGAGAGGGUGACCGGCCACAUUGGGACUGAGAUACGGCCCAGACUCCUACGGGAGGCAGCAGUGGGGAAUAUUGCACAAUGGGCGGAAGCCUGAUGCAGCAACGCCGCGUGCGGGAUGACGGCCUUCGGGUUGUAAACCGCUUUCGCCUGUGACGAAGCGUGAGUGACGGUAAUGGGUAAAGAAGCACCGGCUAACUACGUG
rnacentral:rRNA from 1 species